rnacentral:rRNA from 1 species
UACGGAGGGUGCGAGCGUUGUCCGGAAUCACUGGGCGUAAAGGGCGCGUAGGCGGUGGCCUAAGCGUGCGGUGAAAGCCCGGGGCUCAACCCCGGGUCGGCCGUGCGGACUGGGCCACUCGAGCACACUAGGGGCAGGCGGAAUUCCGGGUGUAGCGGUGGAAUGCGUAGAGAUCCGGAAGAACACCGGUGGCGAAGGCGGCCUGCUGGGGUGGAGCUGACGCUGAGGCGCGACAGCGUGGGGAGCAAACAGG